GACGAACGCUGGCGGCGCGCUUAACACAUGCAAGUCGAGCGAUGAAACUUUAACAGAACCCUUCGGGGCGAAGAUAAGGUGGAUUAGCGGCGGACGGGUUAGUAACACGUGAGUAACCUGCCUUAGACAUUGGGAUAGCCUCGGGAAACCGGGAUUAAUACCAAAUAAAAUCAUAAUGACACAUGUCAUAACGAUCAAAACUCCGGUGGUCUAAGAUGGACGCGCGUCCCAUUAGCUAGUGGGGAGAGUAAAAGCCUACCAAGGCGAGGAUGGGUAGCCGGGCUGUGAGGGAGGACGGCCACAUUGGAACUGAGAAACGGUCCAAACUCCUACGGGAGGGAGCAGUGGGGAAUAUUGCACAAUGGAGGGAACUCUGAUGCAGCGACGCCGCGUGAACGAAGAAGGCUUUCGAGUAGUAAAGUUCGUUUAUAUGGGAAGAUAAUGACGGUACCAUAAGAAAAAGCCCCGGCUAACUACGUG
rnacentral:rRNA from 1 species